UCUCAUCCUGCUGACAGAUUUAAACUUUUCUCUGCUUUUGUUGACCCUUUAUUAGACUUCGAGUCCAACUUCUGAGGAGAGAUCAAGGUUUUGUCUUUUCACCAGUGAUUGCUUCAAGAGUUAACUUUGAGGCUAGAAGCUGCUUGAAUUUUCUCAGGAGCCAGACUGGGAAUAUGGAACAGGUCUUGGCAGUGAUGUGUUCAGAAGACAAAUCCCAGACCAAAGCUACCUGUGUCUUAAAGCAUCUGAGACAUCUCACCUCCUCCAGUGCUGCUGCCCUGAGGUUGGAAGUUAUGCUGUUCUUCUGCUGGCCUUUGCCCUCAAGUCCGUGUGUGAAUUUAUUCUUCAGGCCAUGCUGAUCUUUGCUCAAAGCAAACAGAGAACAUAAGUGGUAGGAAAAGUUGAUUAGCUCUGGGAGUACUGGGACUGGGCAUGUAAGAGUUGGGUACCCUUGUCAGGUGGGGACAAGCUGAGGUCUUGUGAGUAGUCAAAUGUUUCUGGUGUGCAGCUGCCUGAGAGAACCGCUGCGUGGCAAACUGCAGUUCCCCACAGGAGGAGGGAAGUGGCCUGGGCUGCAGUAGGUGCUCUGCAGGUGCCCUGGGUUAAACAUCUGCUGUGUUGCUGUCUGAGUGCAGCAGGCAGGACUCGGUAACCCAAGUAGCUUCUUCCAGUCUGAUUUUUUUAUUAUUAUUGUUUUUUCUUCCUCUAUACAUUAACAAAGCUAGAACAUCAGUUAAUGAAAUUUUUCUGUUUGAAGGAAACUGGUAAAGCUCCACCACAGAGCUGAGCAGAGAGAAAUACCCCUGUCCCCUACAGAAAUGAUAGGAGAGAGGAGCAGAGGCACAGAGCUGCUAAGGCCCUUUAUACAGUGGCUGCUUUGCUAGAUGUCCCCAUGCACACAGACAUCCCUCUCCCAGGGCAGGCGAACCAUGCAGUCACCCUCUCAGCCAUGUUCAGGUACUGCCAGCCCCCAGCUAUGGCAGCAGUGACACUUGUGGUGACUACGAACCCCAUGGGAGACUCUGGUGAAUACUCAGCCUGUGUCAAGCUGUGCGUGCUACUGGCCCUGGCCAGGCUGUGCCAGCGUGGGCUUGUCCUUGUCCACACAGCCCUUGAGGACUCAGCAGCUCUGGCUGUGAGACACUGGGUGCUGAAGCUGGGGAUGGAGCUGCUUGAAAUGGGUGGGAGCAUUAAAAAAGUUUGGCUUCUGCAUCCAGC